GACGAACGCUGGCGGCGUGCUUAACACAUGCAAGUCGAACGAAGAGCGACGGAAGCUUGCUUCUAUCAAUCUUAGUGGCGAACGGGUGAGUAACGCGUAAUCAACCUGCCCUUCAGAGGGGGACAACAGUUGGAAACGACUGCUAAUACCGCAUACGAUCUAAUCUCGGCAUCGAGGAUGGAUGAAAGGUGGCCUCUACAUGUAAGCUAUCACUGAAGGAGGGGAUUGCGUCUGAUUAGCUAGUUGGAGGGGGAACGGCCCGCCAAGGCGAUGAUCAGUAGCCGGUCUGAGAGGAUGAACGGCCACAUUGGGACUGAGACACGGCCCAGACUCCUACGGGAGGCAGCAGUGGGGAAUCUUCCGCAAUGGACGAAAGUCUGACGGAGCAACGCCGCGUGAGUGAUGACGGCCUUCGGGUUGUAAAGCUCUGUUAAUCGGGACGAAAGGCCUUCUUGCGAAUAGUGAGAAGGAUUGACGGUACCGGAAUAGAAAGCCACGGCUAACUACGUG
rnacentral:rRNA from 1 species